rnacentral:rRNA from 1 species
CAGUCGCCGCGGUAAUACAGAGGGUGCGAGCGUUAAACGGAUUUACUGGGCGUAAAGCGUGCGUAGGCGGCUUCUUAAGUCGGAUGUGAAAUCCCUGAGCUUAACUUAGGAAUUGCAUUCGAUACUGGGAAGCUAGAGUAUGGGAGAGGAUGGUAGAAUUCCAGGUGUAGCGGUGAAAUGCGUAGAGAUCUGGAGGAAUACCGAUGGCGAAGGCAGCCAUCUGGCCUAAUACUGACGCUGAGGUACGAAAGCAUGGGAAGCAAACAGGAUUAGAUACCCGUGUAGUCCCUGUCUCUUAUAC